CUUUGAUGAAGUUUUCGGAUGGAUUUAAAACAGCUUAGUGGCGGACGGGUGAGUAACGCGUGGGUAACCUGCCUCACACUGGGGGAUAACAGUUAGAAAUAGCUGCUAAUACCGCAUAAGCGCACAGAACCGCAUGGUUCGGUGUGAAAAACUCCGGUGGUAUAAGAUGGACCCGCGUUGGAUUAGCUAGUUGGCAGGGCAGCGGCCUACCAAGGCGACGAUCCAUAGCCGGUCUGAGAGGAUGAACGGCCACACUGGAACUGAGACACGGUCCAAACUCC
rnacentral:rRNA from 1 species